rnacentral:lncRNA from 1 species
AAUUUGUCUUUUUCACCAGAGGUGGAUCAAAAUUUUUGACACCCAACCAUUUUGUCAAUUGUGCAUUAAAUACGUCCUAAUAUUUUAGAAAAUUGAUUUGGUCCAAUUUUGCAACAAUUAUUUGGUAGUUCCUUCACAAAAAAACCUCCUUUCGGGCACUCGGAAAAUGAAAAAUGGUUUUUUCGUCCAAAGAAAAUGAAAAGUUCCUUAGGCAACAUUGUUUGCCAUUCCAAUAUGCACUCUUGUGCACAAUAUGAGAUCAUUUGAAUAAACUAUGCCACGAAUGUGGCCAUAAGAUUGAUCAUUUGGCUUGAAAGCCAUGAAUCUUCAGAGAUGAUAGCUCAUUUCUGAGAACACUUUUUUAAAAUAAUUGCCGUAUUGCAAGUUUGUUAUUUUUCGUGGGAACUUGGCCACAUAUAAUGACACAAUGCGAAGGUUUCCCAAUUUUUUGAUUUUUUUUGAAUUUUUAUGCCCGUUUCAAAAUGUGGUCAAAACGACGGGAAUGACCGUUCCUAGCUAGUUGUUGAAUCUUGGAUUUUUUUGGUGUUUCUCUGAUUAAAUAUAUACUUAUGUACCUAGAAAUGAUUUUUUGAAAAAAUAAAUAGCAAACUAUGAGGCAACUGCAGUUCAAAUUUGACCCGCUUCCAACUGAAUCGCCGGAAAUUUAUCUUUUUCACGAGAGGUGGAUCAAAACUUUUUACACCCAACCAUUUGGUCAAUUGUGCAUUAAAUAUGUCCUAGUAUUUUAGAAAAAUGAUUUGGUCCAAUUUUGCAACAAUUAUUUGGUAGUUCCUUCACAAAAAAACCUCCUUUCGGGCACUCGAAAAAUGAAAAAUGGUUUUUUCGUCCAAAGAAAAUGAAAACUUCCUUAGGCAACAUUGUUUGCCAUUCCAAUAUGCACCCUUGUGCACAAUAUGAGAUCAUUUGAACAAACUAUGCCACGAAUGUGGCCAUAAGUUUGAUCAUUUGCCUUGAAAGCCAUGAAUCUUGAGAGAUGAUAGCUCAUUUCUGAGAACACUUUUUUAAAAUAAUUGCCGUAUUACAAGUUUGUUAUUUUUCCUGGGAACUUGGUCACAUAUAAUGAAACAAUGCGAAGGUUUCCCAAUUUUUUGAUUUUUUUUUAAUUUUUGAUGCCCGUUUCAAAACGCGGUCAAAACGGCAGGAAUGACUGUUCCUACCUAGUGGUUGAAUCUUGGAAUUUUUUUGGUGUUUCUCUGAUUAAAUAGAUACUUAUGUACCUAGAAAUGAUUUUUUUAAAAAAUAAAGAGGAAACUACGAGGUAGCUGCAGUUCAAAUUUGACCCGCUUCCUACUGAAUCGACGCAAUUUGUCUUUUUCACGAGAGGUGGAUAAAAUCUUUUGACACCCAACCAUUUGGUCAAUUGUGCAUUAAAUAUGGCCUAAUAUUUUAGAAAAAUGAUUUGGUCCAAUUUUGCAACAAUUAUUUGGUAGUUCCUUCACACAAAAAAACCAUUUUGAGCACUCAAAAAAUGAUUAAAAAUAGCUAGAAAUAUGAAAAAUGCAUACAAAUUGGUCCUAAUCCAUAAAAUGUGGUCUAACUCUAGUGAAAAUUUGUGUGGUGCCCUUUUGCAAAAUAUUUUUGAUAGCUACUUCAUAAAAUCUCUUUAUUUUCAGUACUUAAAAACUAUUCUACAUCACUGAUUUUCUGAACCAAUCAUAACUCUGUCCACGGAUCGAUGACAUGGCGUCCAUCCAUC